AUCAGACAGAAGGCAACCUGGUUACAGAAGACAGAGCCAGAGGGGGCAGGAGGUACCCUUCCAGGCCAUCACACUGGGCAUCUGAUCCAAGACAGGAUGGAGGGUGCAGAAACAUCUCCAAGGCUGGGGAGCUCUUCUGUCUGGUUUCCGGAGAAAAAGAACAGAAGUUCCCAGCGGCGGUUCUGCAACAGCUCGAGCGCGGGGGACACGCGCAGCAGACGGCCCCAGACGCCUCAAGGCUGCGCGCGAAGACACGGCGCAGGCAGACUCACAGACGGGGCUCCCCCACCCUGGACACGGCGGCAGCGAGUUGGGAAGCCCAGGAAACCCCGGGUUCCCGUCGGAAGCCUCCCGGUACCCAGUCCCCUCCCG
rnacentral:lncRNA from 1 species